UACAGAGACUGCAAGCGUUGUUCGGAUUCAUUGGGCGUAAAGGGUGCGUAGGCGGUGAGGUAAGUUGGAUGUGAAAUCUCAGGGCCUAACCCUGAAAGUGCAUCCAAAACUGCCUUGCUUGAGGACUGGAGGGGAGACUGGAAUUCUCGGUGUAGCGGUGAAAUGCGUAGAUAUCGAGAGGAACACCAGUGGCGAAGGCGGGUCUCUAGCCAGUUCCGUGACGCUGAGGCACGAAAGCCAGGGUAGCAAACGGG
rnacentral:rRNA from 1 species